GGAUGCUGGGACGACCGAGAUCGGCUUUCGGGAGUGGUCUCAAACUAUCCUAGCUGCUGCGGCAAAGAGCCGUGGUGACGAACGUCGGAUGAAAAGUUCGGUCGAGAUCCGAGCAGGC
rnacentral:ncRNA from 1 species